GUAGGGAAUAUUGGACAAUGGGCGAAAGCCUGAUCCAGCCAUGCCGCGUGCAGGAUGAAGGCCUUCGGGUUGUAAACUGCUUUUGUACGGAACGAAAAGACUCCUUCUAAUAAAGGGGGUCCAUGACGGUACCGUAAGAAUAAGCACCGGCUAACUACGUGCCAGCAGCCGCGGUAAUACGUAGGGGGCAAGCGUUAAUCGGAAUUACUGGGCGUAAAGCGUGCGCAGGCGGUUAUAUAAGACAGAUGUGAAAUCCCCGGGCUCAACCUGGGAACUGCAUUUGUGACUGUAUAGCUAGAGUACGGUAGAGGGGGAUGGAAUUCCGCGUGUAGCAGUGAAAUGCGUAGAUAUGCGGAGGAACACCGAUGGCGAAGGCAAUCCCCUGGACCUGUACUGACGCUCAUGCACGAAAGCGUGGGGAGCAAACAGGAUUAGAAACCCGUGUAGUCC
rnacentral:rRNA from 1 species